UAGGGAAUCUUCCGCAAUGGGCGAAAGCCUGACGGAGCAACGCCGCGUGAGUGAUGAAGGUCUUCGGAUCGUAAAACUCUGUUAUUAGGGAAGAACAAAUGUGUAAGUAACUAUGCACGUCUUGACGGUACCUAAUCAGAAAGCCACGCCUAACUACGUGCCAGCAGCCGCGGUAAUACGUAGGUGGCAAGCGUUAUCCGGAAUUAUUGGGCGUAAAGCGCGCGUAGGCGGUUUUUUAAGUCUGAUGUGAAAGCCCACGGCUCAACCGUGGAGGGUCAUUGGAAACUGGAAAACUUGAGUGCAGAAGAGGAAAGUGGAAUUCCAUGUGUAGCGGUGAAAUGCGCAGAGAUAUGGAGGAACACCAGUGGCGAAGGCGACUUUCUGGUCUGUAACUGACGCUGAUGUGCGAAAGCGUGGGGAUCAAACAGG
rnacentral:rRNA from 1 species